CCUACGGGAGGCAGCAGUGAGGAAUAUUGGUCAAUGGACGAGAGUCUGAACCAGCCAAGUAGCGUGAAGGAUGACUGCCCUAUGGGUUGUAAACUUCUUUUAUAUGGGAAUAAAACAGGGUAUGCAUACCCUCAUGUAUGUACCAUAUGAAUAAGGAACGGCUAACUCCGUGCCAGCAGCCGCGGUAAUACGGAGGAUCCGAGCGUUAUCCGGAUUUAUUGGGGUUAAAGGGAGCGUAGGUGGUUUGUUAAGUCAGUUGUGAAUGUUUGUGGCUCAACCGUAAAAUUGCAGUUGAAACUGGCAGUCUUGAGUACAGUAGAGGUGGGCGGAAUUCGUGGUGUAGCGGUGAAAUGCUUAGAUAUCACGAAGAACUCCGAUGGCGAAGGCAGCUCACUGGACUGCAACUGACACUGAUGCUCGAAAGUGUGGGUAUCAAACAGGAUUAGAUACCCCGGUAGUC
rnacentral:rRNA from 1 species